GGCUCUCAGAGUCCUUCUCAAUAUGCAAAGUGAACUUCCUGACAGUCUGCUAUUAAGACGUGAAAUCAUGGCCCUGGUUACAGAAGAAGAUGAGAUGUUCUAAUCAGAUCAACUUCAGUACCAACAUGUUCUCUUUAGCUCUGCUGCUGCUGGCUGCUGGAUCCUGUGUAAAGUGUGAACAGCUGACCCAGCCAGCCUCUGUGACUGUGCAUCCAGGGGAUCGUCUGACCAUCACCUGUCAGACCUCUUAUUCUCUUAGCAGCGCUCGAACAUUUUGGAUCAGACAACCUGCAGGAAAAGAACUGGAGUGCAUUGGUAGUGUACAUGUUGGACACAGCACACGGUACAAAGACUCACUACAGAACAAGUUUAGUAUCGACAUAGACUCCUCCAACAGGACCGUGACUCUGAUUGGACAGAAUGUGCAGCCUGAAGACUCAGCUGUGUAUUACUGUGCCAGAGAACCACCCACAGUAACACAAAGCAUCAUGAGACCUGAACAAAAACCCCUCAGUGACUGAACACACGAAGCCACAAGAGGGUGAUCCCUCAGAGCACCAAUGAUUUCAGAUCAGCACAAUAAGAAGAAAUAAGAUGUCACUUAAAAAGCAACAGCAUGUAAUUAAAUGAGUCAUAAUAAGUUUAAUAUAAUAACCAUAAA